rnacentral:lncRNA from 1 species
UCUCCCUGCUUCCUGGCCUUUCUAUUUAAAAGCACCCAUCUUCACCUUCUCCCAAAGUCUCUGGAAGUUUUACAGACAGCAUCUUUCUAGCCUCGCCCUGCAUCUCUUUCUAGUCAUUUGACUGAGGCUGAACAAAGCCCAGAUGGGAGUUUCAUUCCCUUCACCUCCCCCAACUCCCAGCGGAGGGAGGCUGGCCCCAGACACAGGACACAGCUUCCUGACCCUGCAGGCAGGAGCCUGGCUUGUUGGUGAGUGGGCCUCCUCAUUGCUGCUGGAGUUUUCCAUCCUCAUUCCACAACAAGCCAAGUCAGCAAGUUGCUGCCAGGAACCUUCACACCUUGUGCUUUGGGAUCUGAGGGGAAACACACACACACCGGCACCACCCUCCCUGAGCCCGGGAAUGAAGCCAGCAUCAGCGGAGAGCAACCUACUGAGGAAAAUGAUGGAGUAAUUCCCUGGGCACACUUCAGGCAUGGUGCCAGGUAACAGGCCCUGCCAGGGGGUGACAGAGGUGGUACCAUGGCAUGUCUGGGGCCUGCCCCGAGACACCAGCUGGCAGCAGCCACACUCUGUCCUUAGCAGCACUCGCAGCAGUCCAACACUUUGGUUGUCACGCAAGACACGCUGUUUCUGACAGGACGCCGCAGCCGGGUAACACGGGCAGAUGCAGAGGGCACUGUCCUGCGGCGCUUUUUUGAAAGCACGCCAUUUUUCUUCCCUACCCAAUUAACUUUCCAGAGACCCAUCCCGAAGGACUGGAUUCAUCACUAGAACCAACAAGAUGAGGAUUUGUAGAGCCGGCUGCCGCGCCGCCGAGGCUCCUAGUGGGUUAUCUGCGUGGCUUGCCUGACCUCAGCAGAAAUCCACAGCGCAGGGCCCAGAGCUGUGUGAGCACCUGCAAUUGAAGAAUUCACAAUUACAAGUCGUGUGUCUAAAUUGGCAGACUUUCAAGAAAGUCCCACCAAUCUUCAAGCAUACAGCCACCAAGGGCCACGUAAAAUGUUUGUGGCUUUAAUAUACAGUUUCAUUUGCUUGAAUAUCAUCAGCUUGGGUGCAGAUAAUCAAAGAAUGUCUCAGGAUGGAGAAUUUAAUACGAGAAUUCGGCCAGGGCUGCCAAGCCAUAUAUGUGCUAAUGUUGCAAUUUCAACCUUGGACUUAAGGUCAAGAUUAAUUUAGUGAAAAAUAUUAUUUCACGAUGUAACAGACACCUUCUGAGUUGGAGAGCCGAGGAAUUCCGGAGGAUGGAUGAGGCAUGGGUGUGUCUAGAGACCUC